UACAGAGGGGGCAAGCGUUAUUCGGAAUUAUUGGGCGUAAAGGGCGCGUAGGCGGCCUGGCAAGUGGAUGGUGAAAUCCCUCGGCUUAACCGAGGAACUGCCGUCCAAACUGCUUGGCUUGAGACCGGGAGAGGUGAGUGGAAUUCCCAGUGUAGCGGUGAAAUGCGUAGAUAUUGGGAGGAACACCAGUGGCGAAGGCGGCUCACUGGACCGGAACUGACGCUGAUGCGCGAAAGCGUGGGGAGCAAACGGGG
rnacentral:rRNA from 1 species